AUGAACAAGGAGAGGCUCAUGAAGAUGGCCGGCGCCGUCCGCACCGGCGGCAAGGGCACCGUGCGCCGGAAGAAGAAGGCGGUGCACAAGACGGCGACCACGGACGACAAGCGGCUGCAGAGCACGCUCAAGAGGGUGGGCGUCAACACCAUCCCCGCCAUCGAGGAGGUCAACAUCUUCAAGGACGACCUCGUCAUCCAGUUCCUCAACCCCAAAGUGCAAGCGUCCAUCGCCGCAAACACAUGGGUGGUCAGUGGGACUCCCCAGACCAAGAAGCUACAAGAUGUUCUUCCUUCGAUCAUCAACCAAUUGGGCCCUGACAACAUGGAGCACCUGAAGAGGAUUGCUGAGGAGAUGCAGAAGCAGGUGGCUGCUGCAGGCGCCAUCCAGCCCAAGGAGGAGAACGACGACGACGUUCCGGAGCUCGUUCCCGGUGAGACCUUUGAGGAGGUAGCCCAGGAGACAAAAGCCUGA
rnacentral:rRNA from 1 species